GUGGCGCACGGGUGCGUAACGCGUGGGAACCUGCCUUUAGGUUCGGAAUAACUCAGAGAAAUUUGAGCUAAUACCGGAUAAUGUCUUCGGACCAAAGAUUUAUCGCCUUUAGAUGGGCCCGCGUUAGAUUAGAUAGUUGGUGGGGUAAUGGCCUACCAAGUCGACGAUCUAUAGCUGGUCUGAGAGGAUGAUCAGCCACACUGGGACUGAGACACGGCCCAGACUCCUACGGGAGGCAGCAGUGGGGAAUAUUGGACAAUGGGCGAAAGCCUGAUCCAGCAAUGCCGCGUGAGUGAUGAAGGCCUUAGGGUUGUAAAGCUCUUUUACUAGGGAUGAUAAUGACAGUACCUAGAGAAUAAGCUCCGGCUAACUCCGUGCCAGCAGCCGCGGUAAUACGGAGGGAGCUAGCGUUGUUCGGAAUUACUGGGCGUAAAGAGAACGUAGGCGGCUAUCCAAGUCAGGGGUGAAAUCCCGGGGCUCAACCCCGGAACUGCCCUUGAAACUAGGUAGCUAGAAUCCUGGAGAGGUUAGUGGAAUUCCGAGUGUAGAGGUGAAAU
rnacentral:rRNA from 1 species